GUGUUUCUAGGCCACUGGAUUUGGAGCUCUCUGUGGUGGUAUUUUGGGCUCUGAAGUAGCUGAACAUUGGAACCAGCUAUAUAAGAUGGAUAAGCAGGGUGCUAAUCUUAGGUUUCUCUAUUGGUGGGAGGAUAAAACUCGAGGAGCUAACCAAUAGUCAAAGGAUACCUAAAAGCUCAGACGCACAUUUGCCUGAAAAUAAAUUGUUCAGUUGUCAGGGCCAAUAUUCAAGAGCUAGCGUUUAUCAUCCACUGUAUUGCAACUGAUAGCUCUGUUCUUCCAAUAAGAUUGAUUUCCCAUUAAACCAUCUAUGUUUUCCCAGAGAAAUUUCCCUUUGAACCGUAUUAUUUUAAUUUCUAAGAAGUUUAUGUGCCUGCACGCCUGAAUUUUUAUAUAUUGAAUAUGGUCAACACUAAGUUCCUUCUUUGGCUUAUUGCAUGCAUUGCCAGUGAGUGGGGUUUUGGCUUAUGUACUCUGAUCUUAAAUGCAUGGAACAUGAUUUAUGCUGCAUUAUCUUUUGUGCACUCUGAUCAAAACACGGAGGGUAUUCCUACCGAUGCAUGUUUACAUAUGUGAUAAGAUUUGGUCUUUUUAUGAAAGAACUUUUAUCUUGUAUAUGGUUUACAGUGAAUAGCAUGUGUUUUUUAUUUUGUUUUUUGUUGUUGUUUUUGAUUAAAUGUAAGUGUGAUCACCAGGUAUGUAUUCUGGACGUUCACAUGUGCGUUGACCAUGAUUCAAAACUUCGAUAGUUGAUAGAUGUUAACUAUUGCUUUUUUUUUGUGUAUCAGGAGCAGUAAAAUUGAUCCCAUUUAGCAUUGUGGGAGAUUGGGAAUGAGAUAAGUAGAAUGCCAUUUUACAGUGGUUCUAUUUCAUCUCAAGCUCAAUUUGAUAAAGAUCAACGGUCACCUUCUUGUUGUCGUUCCUCUGUUAAGGUAGAACUCUUUAGUGUCACCAUCAUGGUUAUGGAUAUUGUUGGUAGCUCACCAUAUGAUUAUUAUUUUGUAACAACUUGCUAUAUGUCUGACAACGUUAACACUCGAUGGAGUGUUUUAGAUAUUGAGGUAUUUCUAGUAGAAAAUAUAAACAGACAAUUAGGGACCAACCUCCCGCUAUUCUACCCUGAGCUCUAGCAUCCAGAUGACCUUGAUAUGAAACGGCUGGGAAACAUCUCAGAAAAUUUUCCCCAUCCACGAGUUAAAUAUUUAA